GACGAACGCUGGCGGCGUGCUUAACACAUGCAAGUCGAACGGUAAGGCCCUUCGGGGUACACGAGUGGCGAACGGGUGAGUAACACGUGGGUGAUCUGCCCUGCACUUCGGGAUAAGCCUGGGAAACUGGGUCUAAUACCGGAUAGGACCACUGCCUGCAUGGGUGGUGGUGGAAAGUUUUUGCGGUGUGGGAUGGGCCCGCGGCCUAUCAGCUUGUUGGUGGGGUGAUGGCCUACCAAGGCGACGACGGGUAGCCGGCCUGAGAGGGUGACCGGCCACACUGGCACUGAGAUACGGCCCAGACCCCUACGGGAGGCAGCAGUGGGGAAUAUUGCACAAUGGGCGCAAGCCUGAUGCAGCGACGCCGCGUGAGGGAUGACGGCCUUCGGGUUGUAAACCUCUUUCAGCACCGACGAAGCGCAAGUGACGGUAGGUGCAGAAGAAGGACCGGCCAACUACGUGCCAGCCGCCGCCGUAA
rnacentral:rRNA from 1 species